rnacentral:rRNA from 1 species
UACAGAGGUGGCAAGCGUUGUUCGGAAUUACUGGGCGUAAAGGGCGCGUAGGCGGCCUUCUAAGUCAGACGUGAAAUCCCCCGGCUUAACCUGGGAACUGCGUCUGAUACUGGAGGGCUUGAGUGCGGGAGAGGGAUGUGGAAUUCCAGGUGUAGCGGUGAAAUGCGUAGAUAUCGGGAGGAACAUCUGUGGCGAAGGCGACACCCUGGACCAGCACUGACACUGAGGCACGAAAGCGUGGGGAGCAAACAGG